rfam:Insolitispirillum peregrinum strain DSM 11589 genome assembly, contig: Ga0111619_102
GCACCCGUAGCUCAGCUGGAUAGAGUACUGCCCUCCGAAGGCAGGGGUCACAGGUUCGAAUCCUGUCGGGUGCA